GGGUUGUGAGGUUAAGCGACUAAGCGUACACGGUGAAUGCCCUGGCAGUCAGAGGCGAUGAAGGACGUGCUAAUCUGCGAUAAGCGUCGGUAAGGUGAUAUGAACCGUUAUAACCGGCGAUUUCCGAAUGGGGAAACCCAGUGUGUUUCGACACACUAUCAUUAACUGAAUCCAUAGGUUAAUGAGGCGAACCGGGGGAACUGAAACAUCUAAGUACCCCGAGGAAAAGAAAUCAACCGAGAUUCCCCCAGUAGCGGCGAGCGAACGGGGAGCAGCCCAGAGCCUGAAUCAGUGUGUGUGUUAGUGGAAGCGUCUGGAAAGGCGCGCGAUACAGGGUGACAGCCCCGUACACAAAAAUGCACAUGCUGUGAGCUCGAUGAGUAGGGCGGGACACGUGGUAUCCUGUCUGAAUAUGGGGGGACCAUCCUCCAAGGCUAAAUACUCCUGACUGACCGAUAGUGAACCAGUACCGUGAGGGAAAGGCGAAAAGAACCCCGGCGAGGGGAGUGAAAAAGAACCUGAAACCGUGUACGUACAAGCAGUGGGAGCACGCUUAGGCGUGUGACUGCGUACCUUUUGUAUAAUGGGUCAGCGACUUAUAUUCUGUAGCAAGGUUAACCGAAUAGGGGAGCCGAAGGGAAACCGAGUCUUAACUGGGCGUUAAGUUGCAGGGUAUAGACCCGAAACCCGGUGAUCUAGCCAUGGGCAGGUUGAAGGUUGGGUAACACUAACUGGAGGACCGAACCGACUAAUGUUGAAAAAUUAGCGGAUGACUUGUGGCUGGGGGUGAAAGGCCAAUCAAACCGGGAGAUAGCUGGUUCUCCCCGAAAGCUAUUUAGGUAGCGCCUCGUGAAUUCAUCUCCGGGGGUAGAGCACUGUUUCGGCAAGGGGGUCAUCCCGACUUACCAACCCGAUGCAAACUGCGAAUACCGGAGAAUGUUAUCACGGGAGACACACGGCGGGUGCUAACGUCCGUCGUGAAGAGGGAAACAACCCAGACCGCCAGCUAAGGUCCCAAAGUCAUGGUUAAGUGGGAAACGAUGUGGGAAGGCCCAGACAGCCAGGAUGUUGGCUUAGAAGCAGCCAUCAUUUAAAGAAAGCGUAAUAGCUCACUGGUCGAGUCGGCCUGCGCGGAAGAUGUAACGGGGCUAAACCAUGCAC
rnacentral:rRNA from 1 species